rnacentral:rRNA from 1 species
GUGUCAGCAGCCGCGGUAAUACGGAGGGGGCUAGCGUUGUUCGGAAUUACUGGGCGUAAAGCGUACGUAGGCGGUGAUUCAAGUCAGAGGUGAAAGCCCGGAGCUCAACUCCGGAAUUGCCUUUGAAACUAGAUCGCUUGAACGUCGGAGAGGUGAGUGGAAUUCCGAGUGUAGAGGUGAAAUUCGUAGAUAUUCGGAAGAACACCAGUGGCGAAGGCGGCUCACUGGACGACUGUUGACGCUGAGGUACGAAAGCGUGGGGAGCAAACAGGAUUAGAAACCCCUGUAGUCC